UGAAAGCCCACGGCUUAACCGUGGAGGGUCAUUGGAAACUGGUUGACUUGAGUGCAGAAGAGGGAAGUGGAAUUCCAGGUGUAGCGGUGAAAUGCGUAGAGAUAUGGAGGAACACCAGUGGCGAAGGCGGCUUCCUGGUCUGCAACUGACACUGAGGCGCGAAAGCGUGGGGAGCAAACAGGAUUAGAUCCCCUGGUAGUCCACGCCGUAAACGAUGAGUGCUAAGUGUUGGGGGUCGAACCUCAGUGCUGAAGUUAACGCAUUAAGCACUCCGCCUGGGGAGUACGGUCGCAAGACUGAAACUCAAAGGCAUUGACGGGGACCCGCACAAGCGGUGGAGCAUGUGGUUUAAUUCGAAGCAACGCGAAGAACCUUACCAGGUCUUGACAUACCAUUGACGCCUCUAGAGAUAGAGGGUUUCCUUCGGGGAAAAUGGAUACAGGUGGUGCAUGGUUGUCGUCAGCUCGUGUCGUGAGAUGUUGGGUUAAGUCCCGCAACGAGCGCAACC
rnacentral:rRNA from 1 species